GGGGGCCCGUUCGGGCCGGAAAUUCAAAAUUGUCGAAACGCUACGAAACUUUGCAGAUCCCUUCUAUGUGUUGUAAUUCGCGGCCGCGUCGACGGGCGAAAGGCCAGUCAAACCGGGAGAUAGCUGGUUCUCCCCGAAAGCUAUUUAGGUAGCGCCUCGUGAAUUCAUCUCCGGGGGUAGAGCACUGUUUCGGCAGGGGGGUCAUCCCGACUUACCAACCCGAUGCAAACUGCGAAUACCGGAGAAUGUUAUCACGGGAGACACACGGCGGGUGCUAACGUCCGUCGUGAAGAGGGAAACAACCCAGACCGCCAGCUAAGGUCCCAAAGUCAUGGUUAAGUGGGGAAACGAUGGUGGGGAAGGCCCAGACAGCCAGGAUGUUGGCUUAGAAGCAGCCAUCAUUUAAAGAAAGCGUAAUAGCUCACUAGUCGAGUCGGCCCGCGCGGAAGAUGUAACGGGGCUCAAACUAGGAGCCGAAGCUGCGGAUUUGAAUUUGUUUUCAAGUGGUAGGGGAGCGUUGUGUAAGCCUGUGAAGGUGUGUCGUAAGGCAUGCUGGAGGUAUCACAAGAGCGAAUGCUGACGUGAGUAACGAUAAUGCGAGUGAAAAGCUCGCACGCCGGA
rnacentral:rRNA from 1 species